CAAAAUGCCCCCCAAAUCCCCCAAAUGCCCACCAGGAACAUGGUGAGGGUGCUGCCCAUCAUGACCCCAAAAGAUGACCCCAAAAGGCCCCAAAAUACCCCAAAAUGCCCCCAAAAUACCCCAAAAAUGCCCACCAGGAACAUGGUGAGGGUCCCACCCAAUGUAACCCCAAAAGAUGACCCCAAAAGGCCCCGAAAUGCCCUCAAAAUGCCCCCCAAAUCCCCCAAAUGCCCACCAGGAACAUGGUGAGGGUGCGCCCCAUGACGGCCCCAUAGAGCUGCAUGGCGUCCCCCCCCGACACGGCGAAGAAGUCGCAGAGGAAAAGGAAUUCCCUGCAGCUGUUGUCCACCAGCGCGUAGUGCUGGCUGCGGAACAGCGCCUCGAACGGGUACUGGGGGUCAGAGGUCAAAGGUCAGCCCGGGGCCACAAGGUCAGGGGGUCAGGGAUGGGAUUACGGGGUCAGGGGUGGAGUUAUGGGGUGAGAUGUGGGGUUAUGGGCAUCAAAAGAGAGCCUCAAAUGGGUACUGGGGGUCAGAGAUCAAAGGUCAGCCCGGGGUCACAAGGUCAGGGAGGUCAAAUGUGGGGUUACAGAGUCAGGUGUGGGGUUAUGGGGUCAAAUGUGGGCUUGGGUGUGAAGUUAUGGGGUGAGAUGUGGGGUUAUCAGCAUCAAAGUGAGCCUCGAAUGGGUACUGGGGGUCAGAGGUCAAAGGUCAGCCCGGGGUCAUAAGGUCAGGGGGUCACAUGUGGGGUUAUGGGGUCAGGUGUGGGGUUGAUGACAACAGAAGAGAGCCUCGAAUGUGUAAUGAGGGGUCAGAGGUCAAAGGUCAGCCUGGGGAAGUCAAAGGUCAUGAGGACCAGGUGUGGGGUUAUGGGGUGGUGGGGUCGUGAACAGCGCCUCAAAGGGGUUUUGGGGGUCAGAGGUCAAGGUCACGUGUGGGGUCAGAGGUCAAAGGGCCGAAGGGUCAAAUAUGGGGCU
rnacentral:lncRNA from 1 species